rnacentral:rRNA from 1 species
UACAGAGGGUGCAAGCGUUGUUCGGAAUUAUUGGGCGUAAAGCGCGUGUAGGCGGCUUUGCAAGUCGGGUGUGAAAGCCCUCAGCUUAACUGAGGAAGUGCGCCCGAAACUGCAGAGCUUGAGUACCGGAGAGGGUGGCGGAAUUCCCCAAGUAGAGGUGAAAUUCGUAGAUAUGGGGAGGAACACCGAUGGCGAAGGCAGCUCGCUGGGACGUGACUGACGCUGAGACGCGAAAGCGUGGGGAGCAAACAGG